rnacentral:rRNA from 1 species
GAUGAACGCUGGCGGCGUGCCUAAUACAUGCAAGUCGAGCGAACAGACGAGGAGCUUGCUCCUCUGACGUUAGCGGCGGACGGGUGAGUAACACGUGGAUAACCUACCUAUAAGACUGGGAUAACUUCGGGAAACCGGAGCUAAUACCGGAUCAUAUAUUGAACCGCAUGGUUCAAUAGUGAAAGACGGUUUUGCUGUCACUUAUAGCUGGAUCCGCGCCGCAUUAGCUAGUUGGUAAGGUAACGGCUUACCAAGGCAACGAUGCGUAGCCGACCUGAGAGGAUGAUCGGCCACACUGGAACUGAGACACGGUCCAGACUCCUACGGGAGGCAGCAGUAGGGAAUCUUCCGCAAUGGGCGAAAGCCUGACGGAGCAAUGCCGCGUGAGUGAUGAAGGUCUUCGGAUCGUAAAACCCUGUUAUUAGGGAAGAACAAAUGUGUAAGAAACUAUGCACGUCUUGACGGUACCUAAUCAGAAAGCCACGGCUAACUACGUG